rnacentral:rRNA from 1 species
GUGAGGAAUCUUCCACAAUGGGCGAAAGCCUGAUGGAGCAACGCCGCGUGAAGGAUGAAGGUCUUCGGAUUGUAAACUUCUUUUAUGAGUGAAGAAUAUGACGGUAACUCAUGAAUAAGCACCGGCUAACUACGUGCCAGCAGCCGCGGUCAUACGUAGGGUGCAAGCAUUAUCCGGAGUGACUGGGCGUAAAGAGUUGCGUGGGCGGUUAUGUAAGCGAAUAGUGAAACCUGGUGGCUCAACCACACAGACUAUUAUUCGAACUGCAUAACUCGAGAAUGGUAGAGGUAACUGGAAUUUCUUGUGUAGGAGUGAAAUCCGUAGAUAUAAGAAGGAACACCAAUGGCGUAGGCAGGUUACUGGGCCAUUUCUGACGCUAAGGCACGAAAGCGUGGGGAGCGAACCGGAUUAGAAACCCCUGUAGUCC